CUUAUAUUCUUCGGAAAAAAAAAUAAAAUAAAAAAAACCUUUGGCUAGAAGCAGAGAAGAAAAAAUGUACAAGACAAGGAAGCUGUGGACUCCAGUCUCCACCGUUAUACGCAGAGCUCGUCCAACGACAUGUCGUUUGACUCCUUACUCUCCUAAUUCACAAAUUCAAUCUUUACCCUCUCAGCUCGAAACUUCUUCGAGGGUUCCUCCACGCUACGGUUCCCAUUUUCUCGCAAAUUUAAAAAUUUCCUCGAAAACUUACUGCUCGCAGCCCGCCGUAAAAAUUGAUACUACAACAAAAAGGUGCUGGAACUGCGAUGCCUUCGCCGAUGGAACGGCGCCGUUCUUGUAUUGCGAUUUCUGCCGGAGCAUUCAACCCGUUGAUUUUUCCAUCGAUUACUUUCAGAUUUUUGGACUAGAAAAAGGUUAUGAAAUUGAGGUUGAUGGUUUGGAAGGGAAGUAUAAGGAUUGGCAGAAAAAAUUGCAUCCUGAUCUUGUUCAUUCAAAAUCCGAGAAAGAGAGAGAAUAUGCUGCUGAACAAUCCGCACGUGUUAUCGAUGCAUACCGUACACUUAGCAAGCCCUUGUCUAGGGCAAUAUACGCUUUGAGGCUUGAAGGAGUAGAUGUUGAUGAAGAACAGACAGUUUCAGAUCCAGAGUUGCUCACUGAGAUUAUGGAAAUUAGGGAAGCUGUAGAAGAGGCUCCAGAUUCACACACUCUAAAUCAGAUUCAAUCUGAGAUGAAGGAGAAAUUGGAAGAAUCGUCUAACUCCUUUGCAAAUGCAUAUCAAAGCAGGAAUUUUGAUGAAGCUGUGACUUGUAUCCAGAGGAUGACUUACUAUCAGCGUGCAAGUGAAGAAAUUACGAAGAAGCUUUGAUGAUUCAUUAUAUGCAGGGGUUGUUGUCUGUGUCUAAAGUUAUAUUAUGUCUACUUAUUAAGAAGGAUAUGUUAAAGAAAUCUCGGUUCUGGGACAAAAUAUCUCUUCAAUGUUUUGCAUCCGAUCUUUCCAUAAUAACUGACCGAUUAUUUAGGUGAUCAUGAGAUCCAAGAUUGAGUUAUCGCUUUGGGCUUUGGUUAUGAAUCUGAUAUAUGGUUUGAAAUUUUGGGUCUUAUCUUAGUAAACCACCAAGUUCUAAGUUUUUUCUGGAACACUUCUAAAUCAUUCAUCUUAAUUUCAAGGAUCAUGCUGCUCUAGCAAUGUCACAAUGGAGUCAACAAACUUAAAGAUUGAGGAGAUGAUAACUUAACAGCGUAUGUAUAAUUUGAUUGAACAUCUGGUUGAAGUUGAAGACUCCGUGAUACUAUGGAAGUUAAAACACACCGGAAGAAAAUAAAAAAUAAAGGCCCAAACCUUGGGUGAUAAAUUGCUAUAUCUUUUGUUAAUGUUCUCCUGAGAUUUUGAGUUUCUUUAUUUUUCGGUGAUUCAGUCAUCCUGGAAGCUUGAACAGCUAUCUGCAAACCAUUGGAUUUCAAGUUCUAAUCUUCUUCCAGGUUAUUUAUUUUAGCGAAAUAUGAAUCGAACCUAUGGGAAAGAAAAUUAAAUAAAUAAUUUAAAUGAUAUGAU